rnacentral:rRNA from 1 species
UACGUAGGGUGCAAGCGUUGUCCGGAAUUAUUGGGCGUAAAGAGCUCGUAGGCGGUUUGUCGCGUCUGCUGUGAAAUCCCGAGGCUCAACCUCGGGUCUGCAGUGGGUACGGGCAGACUAGAGUGUGGUAGGGGAGACUGGAAUUCCUGGUGUAGCAGUGAAAUGCGUAGAUAUCAGGAGGAACACCGAUGGCGAAGGCAGGUCUCUGGGCUGACACUGACGCUCAUGCACGAAAGCGUGGGGAGCAAACAGG